UACGUAGGGUCCGAGCGUUGUCCGGAAUUACUGGGCGUAAAGAGCUCGUAGGUGGUUUGUCGCGUUGUUCGUGAAAACUCACAGCUCAACUGUGGGCGUGCGGGCGAUACGGGCAGACUGGAGUACUGCAGGGGAGACUGGAAUUCCUGGUGUAGCGGUGGAAUGCGCAGAUAUCAGGAGGAACACCGGUGGCGGAAGGCGGGUCUCUGGGCCGUAACUGACGCUGGAGGAGCGGAAAAGCAUGGGGGAGCGAAACAGG
rnacentral:rRNA from 1 species